AACGAACGCUUGCGGCGCGCCUAAUACAUGCAAGUCGAGCGAGAAAGUAUCUUCGGAUGCGAGUACAGCGGUGGACGGGUGAGGAACACGUAGAUAAUCUGCCUUAGAGAGGGGAAUAACUAAUCGAAAGAUUAGCUAAUACCGCAUAGGACCACAGGGGCUUCGGCUCUAGGGGUUAAAGGAGUAAUCCGCUCUAAGAUGAGUCUGCGUACGAUUAGCUAGUUGGUGAGGUAAUGGCUCACCAAGGCAACGAUCGGUAACUGGUCUGAGAGGAUGACCAGUCACACUGGAACCGAGACACGGUCCAGACUCCUACGGGAGGCAGCAGUAGGGAAUAUUGCACAAUGGAGGAAACUCUGAUGCAGCGACGCCGCGUGAGUGAUGAAGGCCUUCGGGUUGUAAAACUCUGUGAUAAGGGAAGAUGAUGACGGUACCUUAUCAGAAAAGACCGGCUAACUUCGUGCCAGCCGCCGCCGUAA
rnacentral:rRNA from 1 species